rnacentral:lncRNA from 1 species
AAGCAACACACAAACAAAGGCUCACCCACCUUGGAACCCUGGCCGGCAACUCUGAGCUUACAGAGCGGCUUUGUAUUCCGCUUGAAAUCUGCCUCUGUCUCAACCCUUUUUUGUCCUGUACACGUCUCUGAAUCUGUUGAUAAAAUGUUGUGUUUAAUUGUGGUGCAUUACUUUCCCCAGGUAGAAAUUCAAUCCAUCACGCAAGAUUCUGCAAUUAUAAUGAGGCAAACCACACAAGAAAUUGCACGAUCUCUCCUUGAGCACUCAUUUCCAAAUAAUGAGCAACACCUACUGAAACAUCACAGCAAAACUCUGAGCUAACCAUAGUACGUCAACACCUUAUUCCUUCACCAUCGAACACUUGGGAGUAGAUGAGAAAAUAAAAACAAGCAGACUUCAGAGACUUGGCCAAGAUCUGACAUUGAGAAAGUUAAUUGGACCAGCACCUCUAAAAUUCAUGUUGUGCAUUGCUAGUUUGGGUCUCCUGUUUAGGCUGGAAAGCAGAAGGCUUUUGGAGAAGCCCAUUACUCAAGUUACUGCCGAUUCCUACUAACGCCUCCUCUGCCAAGUAAGGGUAAGUGUGGUUCAAGAUAAAAAAUGGUGUAGCUUUGUUUCAAAGUGCACCUUGUCACACCAAGCACUCAAUUUCCCUAAGCUUAUUUUCUCCAACAUAAAAAUGGCAAAUAACAACUCGCAUGCACAAUUAACUACGCCAUGACAGUAAAGAAAUAGCACUUUGUGCACCAUAGUGUAAGUGACUGCCUGGGUGUGACCGUUGCCUGAUCAAAAUACAAGGGCCACAUACCACUGAGAAGGUGCGUAUUUCUUAAGGCUGAACCUUAAGAUUAAAAAGAGACACAUUCCACUUCAUUACCCAAGAAUGGAAGAAGGACAAUCUACAUGGGGGAAAGGAUCAGAAAUAUCCCACUCUGGGAGAAAGGGGACCCGCCACACGAGCUCCGGGACUCUCCACAACCUGUCUCUCUCAACAGCGGCCCUCCCUUGCUAGCCCUUUAUCUUUAAAUGGAUGAAUUUAGCUUCCCGUUUUUCCUCUGUGGUGUGAGGGACUCGGUUAUCUACCUCCUGGGUCAAAUGAGCUAUUGGCUGUAAAAGGCUAAGCCUAAAAGCUGGGCCCAGAAUAUGCUCUGCACAAAUGCUGGCUAUUACAUUAUUCUUCCCAGGUUGCCCUUGGAGUGAUUCCUCUAUGGUUCAUUUACUUUAGCCUGUAGAUGAACAAAUACAAGCAAGCAACUCCCAGAGCACUCCCACAGAAAUUGCUUUGAAUGAAAUCCGUACACUUGCGAUAAAAAAGUUUGGCGAAAGAAUAGAUUUUGUGGUAAAAACAAUAACUACAUCGUAAAUCUGUUUUUAUAAUAAGUAAUAAAACUUUGGGAUUUGGGAUCCAGCCAAGAUUGAUGCCUCUCUAUCCCAGCUGCCCAUAAAAUCAUUUGGAGAGACUUAAAAAUACAAGGUACCAGCUCAGCUGAAAACUGAUACAUAAGGAAGACAGUUGUCCCAUCU